GUCUUCGUGGUGUAACAGUUAGCACAAUCGGCCCGUAUUCGAGAGGUCCAGGUUCGAGUCCCGGCGAGGCCA
rnacentral:tRNA from 1 species